CCUCAGCCCUCCGCCACCACGCCCAGCUAAUUGUUUGUAUUUUUAGUAUAGACGGAGAUUUCACCAUGUUAGCCAGGAUGGUCUCGAUUUCCUUACCUCAUGAUCCCCUGCCUCGGCCUCCCAAAGUGCUGGGAUUACAGGCGUGAACCAAGGCGCCCGGCCGGAGUAGGAAUUUUAUGGGUUAUAAACUAAGGAUAUGGAGGUCGACUUGAGGAAGAAACCUGGAGUAUAAAAAUUCAGUUUGGAAAAAGACGUUUUGUCUCUUAAACUGAAGCACAUUCCUGCCAUUCAUUCGGACCAUACGAAGAUAAAACUAAAAACUUUUCUCUAAAGCUCCUGGUGAUGGUAGUUGAGUCAAUGAGCCACCAGCAACAACAAAGGACAAAAAGGUGUGUUGCUGGCAAUAUGUGGCCCCAGGGGAGAGGCAAAAGUGGAGGUUCCCGAGUCAUCUGAGAUUUGUUGCCUCGGAACAGGAUCCACAGCUCAAUAAUAGUCACUGUACUGUCAUUGUUUAUUUGAAAUCUAAAGGUGUAAUGCAAGAAUAUGCAAGACCACAGGGACUGGAGACACAAAGAGCAUCUGAAGAGAGCUUGAAUGACUCCCAACAGUUCCAGUCUCAAAGUUACCAUGUGCAGCACAGUCAGGGCAGCAUGUGAGAAGAACAACAAGAAAGCUGGGGUCUGCCAGAGAAGACGGAAGCCCUCACAUUAAACUGAGUCAGCUGGCAUCUUGAUCUUGGACUUUCAAAUCUCCAGAACUGUGAGAAAUAAAUGUUAGUUGUUUAAACCACCCAGUCUAUGGUAUUUUGUUAUAGCAGCCCAAGCAGACCAAGACACUACUUUUCUACUUUUAAAAAAUUUACACUUUCUGCAGGUUAGCAGUCAGCUGAAUAUUGAUAAAGAAAGAGUAUAUCAUUUCAAAAAUAAAAAAUUGGUUUG
rnacentral:lncRNA from 10 species